rnacentral:rRNA from 1 species
AGGAUGAACGCUGGCGGCGUGCCUAACACAUGCAAGUCGAACGUCCUGUCUCGCAAGAGGCAGGGAGUGGCGGACGGGUGAGUACCACGUGGGUCAUCUACCGUGAGGUGAGGAAUACCGGCGAGAAAUCGCCGACAAGACCGCAUAGGCUCGAUGCAAGUCGAGCAAAGCUCUUUCGAGAGAGGGAGCGCCACACGAGGAGCCUGCGCCCGAUUAGCUAGCUGGUGGAGUAACGGUUCACCAGGGCGACGAUCGGUAGCUGGUCUGAGAGGACGAUCAGCCACACUGGGAUUGAGAACGGCCCAGACUCCUACGGGGGGCAGCAGUGAGGAAUUUUCGUCAAUGGGGGCAACCCUGAACGAGCAACGCCGCGUGCAGGAAGAGGUUUCGGAUCGUAAACUGCUUUUCUCGGGGAAGAGAAUGGACGGUACCCGAGGAAUCAGCCCCGGCUAACUACGCGCCAGCAGCCGCGGU